UUCUUUUAGUAGUAGGAAAUUUAACAAGUAAUGUUAAAUUUUUAUAAAAAAGUUUUUUGGAAUUUUAUGUUUUGGUAGGACUAUUUAGCAAAUUUCUAUUUUUUAUUUCCCUCUAUAAGGUUUUAGCCUCUAGAGGCUUGGGGAGUUUUUGGAAUUAAAUUCUUAUUUUGGGUCUGAGGUCUUAGGUUAUAUAUCACCUGCAUAUCAAUAUUUAUUUUCCCUGAGCAACAAUAUGUAGAGGAGGUACACAAAACAGCUUAGAAGGAGAUCAUGCUUACAUGCAUAAAUAUAAAAUAUUGCAAGUUUUUACUACCCCCUUCCCCCUGCCAAUCUAAGGCAGAUAAGCAUAUGCAAGCAUCAAAUCAAGACCAAAAGAAAGAAAAACUAACUGCCUCACCAUCUUUCUCCACCAUAGAUAGGAAUUGCCGUGUUCCCCCACCAACUCCAAAAUAAUACUUUUUUGCUGCCAUAUAUACCACUCCAUAAGGACCGCGAACACACUUCUUUAUAAGUUCAUAGAGACUUUGUUGAGCAGAGAUUGAAUAUAUCGUCUCUGCCAUUAAAAUGAUAUCAUAACUGGAAACUGGACACUCCUCUGAGCAACAGUUCAGAUCUUUUUCAUUAUCAUGUAUGUGAGGAAGACACUGAUGGAUUUGAGCCCAGUCACCAGCAAAGAAACGUAGUUCCACACCAGAAUCAGAAUUUUUCUCAUCCGAUGCAGUGCAAGGAAAUUCUUUUGAAAGAUUGACAUCCACAUUGGGAAUGGUGAGAGAUCGCAGAACUUCUGCAUUGAAAUCCUGAAAAUGUACGACAGCUGCACCCUCUAGGCAUGCAAAGAUCCCUGGAAGUCCAUGACCACAUCCAAGCUGAAAACCAUCACAAAAUCAGGAAUAAAAAUUGAAAGCAGGAGAGACAAAAGACAUCUGUCUUAGCACAUAUUUAUCAUACUUGCAGUCAUCAUUUGAUCAACUAUCACAAUAGACAACAAUUUUGGAAAUUAACAAGGCCAGUUUACAGUUGCAAUUAUCAUAAUAAACAAUAGAUUAUCCUCCCUAUGGCUGCAAUGUCACGCUACGUUUGCCCUGGGCUUCUAAAAUCAAUGGAAUUCAUAAUCUACUGUCUUUAUAAGUUUUUAAUUGUAUGGAUUUAUAUAAUCUCACUUGUUUAGUAUGUUAUCAACUCCAUUGCCAGUGUGAUUUUCUCAAGUAACCUAAAAACUCAAAUUCAUAGUAUAACAAACAUUUAAUUAAAUAUAUAAUUAUCAUAAGCUUAACAUUUAAAAUAACUACUUAUUGAGAAAAGAUAAUUUUCUAGUCCUAAUCGAAGUAGAUAUUACCAAGCAAAAAACUUGCAAUAAUUUUUCUCUUUGAUAGCAGUAUGACAAUAAUAUUUGAAAUUGACUAUUCAGCUUGAAUUAUAAAUAGAAGAGUUUAAACCAAGAAUUCAAGAAAUUAAUUUUUAAAUUUAUUUCUUCAAUUUAGUAUGAAAUGGAUAAUUCUUUUCUACAACUGCUGAUAUAUAAAUUGACAACGGUUGAUGGUCCAAAUAAAAAAUUAAAAGAAAUACUUUUUUAAGCUAAAUACAGGAAUGUCCAUUCUUCUUAAUAGCCAACCUGUAUCAAGCUAUACUAGCAAAAACGUGCUGGUACUUAUGGCAAUGGGAAAAGAAGUACGGAUAUAGCCAAAAUUGAAUUGAUACACAAUUAUUCUCAUUAUCAGCCAUUACGAUACAUAAUGGCCACCAAUUAAGACCUGAUUAAAUCUACUUAGGUUUCUGGCACAUGAUCCUAAAAUGUUUUACCUUCAUCAUCCACCACAUCUAAAUUAUUGGAUUUGUAACGCCCACAUAUUUCCUCCAAAUCAUCUAGCUCUUUGAUUUACAUACAACUGGUUGAUGUCCAUAUGGUUAGAUUCAUAGUCUGCUUUUUUCUCCUUGCAUUCAUAAAAGUUGGAUUCAUUUUGCCCGAAUUAAACCUAAUUUUUCUGAUUGCUAUCUAAUGCUUUCUUGCAUUUCUCCUCAAAUCCAUGAGUUAGAAGUGACAUUAACAAGGGACAAGAAAAUAAACUAAACAAGUGCCAAGAAUAAAUCUAUUGCCUGAUACACCUAGAUUCUAGCUAGGACUCACCUAGGCAAUGUUCAUGCCUUAUUGGACCUGGCAUAGGAUCUUAGGCUGUGCUGCACUAUGCCUCACCUUUCAUUUUAUGACACUGGCCAUAGUUGUUAGACACAGAACAUAUACUGAUGACUUGACAGAGAACACUAAUAUUUACAUGGAAUCCUAUUUAGAAGAAUUACUGCAAUAUUCCCAGUGUCAUAAAUACUCAUCUAAAGCCAGCUUUCACAAAGUAAUCACAAAGUUUUUAAGCAAUUACUCAAUUCAACUCAACUAAGCCU
rnacentral:misc_RNA from 1 species